UCGAUGAAAACAUCGAUGCAUCGAUGUUUUUAAAUUUUUUGGAAACAUCGAUGCUUUGUGGCAACCAUCGAUGUUUUUUCCGCGACACUAAAGUAAAGGAAACGCAGAAGAUAUUCAAUUGGUGGUGUAGGCAACGUCGGUGGAUGUGUGGCAAUGGAAAACUUCCUAAACC